CCUACGGGAGGCAGCAGUGGGGAAUAUUGGACAAUGGGGGGAACCCUGAUCCAGCGACGCCGCGUGAGUGAAGAAGUAUUUCGGUAUGUAAAGCUCUAUCAGCAGGGAAGAAAGAAAUGACGGUACCUGACCAAGAAGCCCCGGCUAACUACGUGCCAGCAGCCGCGGGAAUACGUAGGGUGCAAGCGUUAUCCGGAUUUACUGGGUGUAAAGGGAGCGUAGGCGGCGAUGCAAGUCUGAAGUGAAAGGCGGGGGCCCAACCCCCGGACUGCUUUGGAAACUGUAUGGCUGGAGUGCAGGAGAGGUAAGUGGAAUUCGUAGUGUAGCGGUGAAAUGCGUAGAUAUUAGGAAGAACACCGGUGGCGAAGGCGGCUUGCUGGACUGUAACUGACGUUGAGGCUCGAAAGCGUGGGGAGCGAACAGGAUUAGAUACCCGUGUAGUC
rnacentral:rRNA from 1 species